AAACCGUUCAGGGGUAAACCUGAGAAACCCAAAAGAUCGAAUGGGGAGAUUCAUCGUCAGCUCAUUUUGUAUAUAUAUGAGUUAUGAUAUGGGUUACUACUUGUAGUAUUGCCUGUACAUUCUUAUAUAUUUUAUUGCAAGAUGUUGUCGGCGUGCACUUCUCCCCUAGUAGGACGUCGCGACCCGUUGAGUGUCGGUCUACGGCCCAAGUGGUAGCCUUUGAUUCUUGUAAUUAAAGACCCUUGGUGUUUCCUGGCUGACUGCUCGGCGGUAUUCGUACGGUAUUAAGCCGCUUUUAAGCGUUCAUAUCCGUCGCAAGCGCGGUCAAUUUUUGGUAGUACGGACCUAGUGCCGUCGCUAUAAUUGAUCAGCUGUUGGUUGUACGGUAUUCUAGAACUGGCUUAACAUAUACCGGUCUGCGAUGCUACUGCUUUGGGUACUUUCAGGA
rnacentral:rRNA from 1 species